rnacentral:rRNA from 1 species
UGGGGAAUUUUGGACAAUGGGCGAAAGCCUGAUCCAGCAAUGCCGCGUGUGUGAAGAAGGCCUUCGGGUUGUAAAGCACUUUUGUCCGGAAAGAAAUCCUUGGCUCUAAUACAGUCGGGGGAUGACGGUACCGGAAGAAUAAGCACCGGCUAACUACGUGCCAGCAGCCGCGGUAAUACGUAGGGUGCAAGCGUUAAUCGGAAUUACUGGGCGUAAAGCGUGCGCAGGCGGUUUGCUAAGACCGAUGUGAAAUCCCCGGGCUCAACCUGGGAACUGCAUUGGUGACUGGCAGGCUAGAGUAUGGCAGAGGGGGGUAGAGUUCCACGUGUAGCAGUGAAAUGCGUAGAGAUGUGGAGGAAUACCGAUGGCGAAGGCAGCCCCCUGGGCCAAUACUGACGCUCAUGCACGAAAGCGUGGGGAGCAAAACAGGAUUAGAUACCCUGGGUAGUCCACGCCCUAAACGAUGUCAACUAGUUGUUGGGGAUUCAUUUCCUUAGUAACGUAGCUAACGCGUGAAGUUGACCGCCUGGGGAGUACGGUCGCAAGAUUAAAACUUAAAUGAAUUGACGGGGUC